rnacentral:tRNA from 1 species
GUAGCUGUAGUUCAGUGGUAGAGCACUUACCUAACAUACAAGAGCCCCUGGGUUCUAACCCCAGCACUACA